rnacentral:tRNA from 4 species
GGGCGGUUAGCUCAGUUGGUAGAGCGCCUGCCUUACAAGCAGGACGUCGCGGGUUCGAGUCCCUCACUGCCCA